AAUUUUCAGGCGCGAGCUUGGGCGCGAACAAUACAGUCUUGAAGAAAACCAAUUCUUAGCCGCAGUAACAAACACAAUUUGGGAUUAUGGAAUACUGGUGAAAGUACUCGAGGUUUUCAUAAUUGUGUUACAGGCAGAAUUAUCGGCAGCGAAGAACUUGGUAAUCAAUUGGGCUUAUGCGAAAAUUCGGCAGAUCCACUUUUGAUCUUGAUAGUCUGAUAGAAAGUAGUCGAUGGCAUAAUUCAAAUACAUGGGAAACUAAGGAAGAGGAACUGAGUCGAGAAGGGCCAAUUAUUUUUGCCACCGUAGCCAGCAGUAGGAUAGGAUUAUGUUGGAACCACUGAGACGACCGUCGUACAUCAAACGGCUCUUCCGUGCCGUCGGCUAUUCACCGAAUAAUGAAUAAUCACCGCUCACAAAAUCCGCAUUCUUUCGACCCCGAAUUAUGAUUGCAGAGAUAUUGGUGAUUGUCGAUUGUUGGGGGGAGAGGGCAUUGGCACGGAUGAUCCGGCAGAUGUACGACAAGGACGUGGCAAGUAACUUAUCAUAUUUGAAUGGAUCAGUAGUAAUGUAACCACCAGCGCUUUUGUCGGUUUUGUUCUGUAGGUUAAUAAUACUUUUUGUGACUCUGACAUUUAUGCAGCGAACGGAGCCAAACAUGGAGCCAAUUUCUUUUUUAAUUUGUGCCACUACAUUGAAAAAAUCAAAAAUGUUUUACUGAAAAACUACGAAUAAAUGAAC